AUUGAACGCUGGCGGCAGGCCUAACACAUGCAAGUCGAGCGAGCGGCGGACGGGUGAGUAAUGUCUGGGAAACUGCCUGAUGGAGGGGGAUAACUACUGGAAACGGUAGCUAAUACCGCAUACCAUCAGAUGUUCCCAGAUGGGAUUAGCUAGGAGGUGGGGUAACGGCUCACCUAGGCGACGAUCCCUAGCUGGUCUGCGGGGAUGACCAGCCACACGGGAACUGAGACACGGUCCAGACUGCUACGGGAGGCAGCAGUGGGGAAGAUUGCACAAUGGGCGAAAGACUGAUGAGGCAAGGCCGCGUGUGUGAAGAAGGCCUUCGGGUUGUAAAGCACUUUCAGCGGGGAGGCGUUACCCGAAGAAGAAGCACCGGCUAACUCCGUGCCAGCAGCCGCGGUAAUAC
rnacentral:rRNA from 1 species